rnacentral:misc_RNA from 1 species
GAUGAAGAACGUAGUGAAAUGCGAUAAGUAAUGUGAAUUGCAGAAUUCAGUGAAUCAUCGAAUCUUUGAACGCACAUUGCGCCCCUUGGUAUUCCGGGGGGCAUGCCUGUUCGAGCGUCAUUUCAACCCUCAAGCUCAGCUUGGUAUUGAGUCCAUGUCAGUAAUGGCAGGCUCUAAAAUCAGUGGCGGCGCCGCUGGGUCCUGAACGUAGUAAUAUCUCUCGUUACAGGUUCUCGGUGUGCUUCUGCCAAAACCCAAAUGUUCUAUGGUUGACCUCGGAUCAGGUAGGGAUACCCGCUGAACUUAAGCAUAUCAAUAGGCGGAGGA